CAAGGUUGUGAAAUAAGGGCAGAGAAUAGAAUAGAAAGGAAGGCCAUCAACCGGGGCACCUCAAAAAUAUCAUGAAAUCUUGAAGAUUAGGGAGAAGAUUAGACGAUGAAUCCUUCAAAUCUCAAGUUUUCCAAGAGGUCCAAGAAGAAAUUUCAUGAGGAGGAAGAAGACGGAGCUACUAUGUCUAUGCCAAGUGCCAAUGUUCAAGCUUUAAGGGGCAGAGAUUGGCAUCUUGAUGGAGCAUUUGAUGUCUUCUAUAACCAAGCCCAUAUUAAAACGUUCACUGAUUCCAGAAAUUUGGAGAAGCUUUACAGCAGAUAUAAAGAUCCUUAUGUUGAUAUGAUACUGGUUGAUGGGAUCACUCUACUUUGCAAUGACCUCCAGGUGGAUCCUCAAGAUAUAGUUAUGCUAGUUGUUUCAUGGCACAUGAAGGCUGCCACCAUGUGUGAAUUCUCCAAGCAGGAAUUCAUUGGUGGAUUAAGAGCAUUAGGGAUAGAUUCUUUGGAGAAGUUUCGUGAGACGAUGCCAUUCAUGCGAUCUGAGCUUAAAGAUGAACAAAAGUUUUGUGAGAUCUACAACUUUGCUUUUGGUUGGGCAAAAGAAAAGGGUCAAAAAUCUCUGGCAUUGGAUACAGCUAUUGGAAUGUGGCAACUGCUGUUUGCUGAAAAACAAUGGCCAUUAGUUGAUCACUGGUGCCAGUUUUUGCAGGCUCGGCAUAAUAAAGCGAUCUCUAGGGGAUCUCUAGGGAUACUUGGUCUCAAUUAUUGGAAUUUACCAAGACAGUGGACUUCACAUUAUCAAAUUAUGAUGUUGAUGGAGCUUGGCCUCAUCUUAUAGAUGAAUUUGUUGAAUACAUGAAUGAGAAUGGCUUCAUUCAAAAGGGUUAUCAGUCCAAAGAUUGGAGCCUAAAACGAUAGUAGACUGUGGGAGUGCUUUUAACUCUAUUUUUCCUAAAAGGAAAAACAAUAGACCCAAAAAUGGAUAUAUUUAUAAAUUUAAACUGUGUUUGGGUCUAUUGUUUUUCCUUUUAGGAA
rnacentral:misc_RNA from 1 species